rnacentral:lncRNA from 1 species
AUUCCUAAGUUCAGGAGCUGGAAUAAACAAGGGACUCUCUGGUAUGCUUCUUGGCCUGGUCUCAUCUAAAUGAAGGUUUCUCUCAACAGGUGGUACAGUAGAGGUUGAUGAUCCAGCCGCGAGUGAGACCUCCGUCCACUGAAACGGUGGUAGCAUAUUCCUUGAAACAGGUGGUAUGCUAAGAGCAGGAGAGUUUGAGUUCUGAACAUGUUGAUUGGGGGCAGAUGGU